rnacentral:pre_miRNA from 1 species
CAACUCUUGUUCUACACCGUUGGAUCGAGAAAUGGACGUCCGAGAUUCGUCCACGUCACCAUGAGUUAAAAUUUGACUCGCAGAUUCGCUCAUAAGUUAAAAUUUACUAGAAGUUAAAUUUUAACUCAUGGUGACGUGGACGAAUCUCGGACGUCCAUUUCUCGAUCCAACGGUGUAGGAUGGAAGUUG